UACGGGGGGGGCAAGCGUUGUUCGGAAUUACUGGGCGUAAAGGGCUCGUAGGCGGCCAACUAAGUCAGACGUGAAAUCCCUCGGCUUAACCGGGGAACUGCGUCUGAUACUGGAUGGCUAGAGGUUGGGAGAGGGAUGCGGAAUUCCAGGUGUAGCGGUGAAAUGCGUAGAUAUCUGUAGGAACACCGGUGGCGAAGGCGGCAUCCUGGACCAAUUCUGACGCUGAUGAGCGAAAGCCAGGGGAGCAAACGGG
rnacentral:rRNA from 1 species